AAGCAGGAGGGAAGAAAAAAGGGAGGAAGAAAGAAAAUUUCAGCCAUAUAAGCUAUGCUUCCCCCAGCUGAACUGUAUCUACAGUCGAAUAGAAGGGAAUCAAAGAAAAGCAACACUAUAUGGAGACUUGCUCCUCCCGAAAACCUGCCAACCUCCUCUGUCAGCUAUUAGAUAAUCAGAGCUGUUGACUGGGAAAACAGUGAGUGGCCAGGCCUCUUGGAUUGGAGGACAGCUUCAUCUCUGAGAUCAGCAAGGGCAAGAACUCUAGGACCUCUGCUCUAAAGAUCCACAGCUGUGAAGCUUUAAAGGAAGGAGAUGAAGGACCGAAGUCCAAACAACACAUGCCAUCAUCAUGGUGGUUGGAUCAAUGACAUGGGUAUUUGACGCACUAUUACAGGAAAUGCAAACGCAGCAAAAACCCUGCCUGGCUGACUUAAACAGACUAUUCUGGAGUCUGUCUGCAUCAAGAUAUUUUUAGGAGAUAGAUGUGCAAUGGGUGAGUAUACUAUGCGCAGAAAAACUAAAUUUGUUGCUUUUGUUUGGCAUUUAAUGUUUAGUAUUUAGGUUUUGAUCACCUACGUUAAUAUAUCUUUAAUACAUUUUCUAGAAAAAUCUGGAUGCUGUGAUUCUUCAUUGUUCUUUAGGAGCCAUCCGGUUUCUGAAUAUUUACUGGGAAUUUAAAGCAGAGUCCAGCGACAAUAGAAUCAAAUCAAAUUUUUGCCGAUGUAACAUAUUUUUGCCAUUACUAUGCUGAGUCACAGUAAAUGCUCUUAGAAUUAUGAUUGUUACAUAUUUGUUGUACAUUUCACAGCUUUGCAGAGUGGAUGCUAUAUAAAUUAGGGGUAAGUUUUUCUGUCAAAUUGGAUUCAGAAAUUUGUGCAAGCUGUUCACGUUCCUCCAUACCAGGCUGAGUCAUCUAUCACAUCAUGUGCCCUGGUUUUUGCACUGAUCUGCAUCCCUUUAUGUAACUGGAAGGGACAAUCCUAACCUGCCUCUAAUUAUGAGUAUUAAAUUUUCUAAAAUGCAUUCAAUUAAAAGGUUUAUUAGGCCACCUUUUAUUUUUGCAUUAAGGUAAUAUAACUUUACAAUGCAAUCAGAUUAGUGAUGUUCCUUUUUUUAAUGACCACACACAGGCCACUGCCCAUGUGAUGAAUAUUGGAGGUUGAUGAAUAUUUGAUUUGACACAGCUGUUA